GCGAAACCGUAAUAAUAUCGAACGGUCAGGGCUGAUACCAAACACCGCUCCCUACAAGUACUUUGCCCCAUUCUCGAACCCAUAUCGAGAAGCAGAUCUUCCCCUAUGAACCUUGCCGUCCAUCUCAUCGAAGGUGAGGGGAAUACAUUUCGUGGUUUAACUCGAUCUUGUGUUCUUCCGAUGGCGUUGUUCUCUGCAGUUUUCUUGUUUUCGCUGAAGAAGGAAUCAGAGAGGAAAGUAGCUGCCUCCACCAAAGAUGGAUCCUCAAAGGCUACUGCUGCCAAGAAGAAGGUCGGUUGUGUCUCGGAUGAGGAUCGAUCAACCUCUCCUAUUGGCAGUCGAGAUGGUGAUGCCAGUGCUGCCGCUGAUGAUGACAACGAUGAUGUUCAAUGGAGGCAGCUCAACAGUGUAUCCAGGAACAGCUGAGAUGGUUAUGCUCUCAAACCAAUGAGCCCACCCAGUAAAAGAGAACAGAAAAGGCAAGCAAAGGACUUUAACAUCGGCAGUCUGAAGCAUGAUGAGAAAACUGGUACAGGCCAAAAUGGUUCUCGAAUCAGCAAGCAUGACACAUUGCUUGCAGAAAUUAAGAGCAAUCUGAGCAAGGUGUCCACUCCCAACCAGCUUCAGACUUUUUUGGGUUCUCUCACUGGGUCUCCACAGGGGGUUAUGACCGUCCUCUUUGAAGCACUCUUUGAGGGAGCGGGGAAAGGCUUUGUUGCUGCUGCUGUGCAAGGUGAAGAGUCCCAAGCUACAUCUGCUUCAUGCUGUAGAAGGUGGAUGCUGUGAAGGAAGUCACUCUCGUUCUUAAGGUACUUUACCACGGUGAUGUUCUGACCAAAGAGACGAUAAUGAAGUGGUAUGAGGAAGGUGCGCAAGAGCUCUCAGGUAUUCACAUAUGUGAAGCCAUUCGUGGAUUGGCUUUAUUACUACCAUCGUAGCUCAUAAGUAGCUCCGUUGGUAUCUUAAUGUUUCCGAAUUCUGUGAUUGUUGCUUGUAAUAAAGCUUCCGAGUUGUGUGUUGAGUUUGUCUAUUUGAUACUUGAUGUCCUUCCAGGCUCUGUGGUGUGUUGAUCAUAGCAAUUUGUAGUGUUUCAUUAUUAAUGAUGCUCGAAUUUUAAUCUCA